rnacentral:rRNA from 1 species
GCGAAACUGCGAAUGGCUCAUUAAAUCAGUUAUCGUUUAUUUGAUAGUACCUUACUACUUGGAUAACCGUGGUAAUUCUAGAGCUAAUACAUGCUAAAAACCCCGACUCACGAAGGGGUGUAUUUAUUAGAUUAAAAACCAAUGCCCUUCGGGGCUCUUUGGUGAUUCAUAAUAACUUUUCGAAUCGCAUGGCCUUGCGCCGGCGAUGGUUCAUUCAAAUUUCUGCCCUAUCAACUUUCGAUGGCAGGGUCUUGGCCUGCCAUGGUUACAACGGGUAACGGAGGGUUAGGGCUCGACCCCGGAGAAGGAGCCUGAGAAACGGCUACUACAUCCAAGGAAGGCAGCAGGCGCGCAAAUUACCCAAUCCCGAUUCGGGGAGGUAGUGACAAUAAAUACUGAUACAGGGCUCUUUUGGGUCUUGUAAUUGGAAUGAGUACAAUUUAAAUCCCUUAACGAGGAACAAUUGGAGGGCAAGUCUGGUGCCAGCAGCCGCGGUAAUUCCAGCUCCAAUAGCGUAUAUUAAAGUUGUUGCAGUUAAAAAGCUCGUAGUUGAACCUUGGGCCUGGCUGGCCGGUCCGCCUCACCGCGUGCACUGGUUCGGCCGGGCCUUUCCCUCUGGGGAACCCCAUGGUCUUCACUGAUCGUGGCGGGGAACCAGGACUUUUACUGUGAAAAAAUUAGAGUGUUCAAAGCAGGCCUAUGCUCGAAUACAUUAGCAUGGAAUAAUAAAAUAGGACGUGUGGUUCUAUUUUGUUGGUUUCUAGGACCGCCGUAAUGAUUAAUAGGGACAGUCGGGGGCAUCAGUAUUCAAUUGUCAGAGGUGAAAUUCUUGGAUUUAUUGAAGACUAACUACUGCGAAAGCAUUUGCCAAGGAUGUUUUCAUUAAUCAGGAACGAAAGUUAGGGGAUCGAAGACGAUCAGAUACCGUCGUAGUCUUAACCAUAAACUAUGCCGACUAGGGAUCGGACGGUGUUAUUUUUUGACCCGUUCGGCACCUUACGAGAAAUCAAA